AAUGACUCUUGAGUAAAUGAAACCAGGUGGGUGAAGACUUUAGGUCCUCCCAGUUUGGUUCUGUCUCCUUUUACCACGUUCCUGAGAGGAGACAUGACAUCGCUGUAGCCCUAGGACUGGAGAGACUUCGCCGCUCAGUCCAAGGGAGAACGCAGCACCCGGGAAAGGAGAUACAGAAACUGUAUGUAUAUAAAGGUAAUUCCUGGUCAAAAUCUCAUCCAAAAGGCAUUAGAGCAGUUUGCUCCUAAGAAGAGCCAAAAAUGACCGGCAAUGCAGCCUGCUGGAGAAAUUGAAUCCAGCUGAGGGAGAAAGACUGGCCCAUCAGAGGGAUGUACCACGGAAGCAGAGCUAAAGAGAUGCUGCAGAGUAACGAAGAGGAAACACAGCCUGUAAUCAGCUUAAGUGGAAAUAAAUGGCAAAUUGUGGAAACGUGGUACUUUAUGCACAUUCCCUCCUCUGCUCCCAGGUGGUGGCUGUAGGUAUUAAGAGAGACAAGGCAAGUCAAAGCUACAAACUCUCUGCUCAUAAGUAAGAAAUAAAUGAUAAUUCGGGGUCACCCCAAAGACAAUGUCAUUAGAGGAUAUUGUGUUUAAGGCCUUGAGAACUGAGGGGCAAUCUAAAAUUAGAAAUAAUACUGUUUCAGCUUCCCAGAAUAUCAGAAAUGCCACUUUUUUAGUACUAAAGUAGAUAGGAAACUAUUCACUACUACACAACAAAGAACGCAGGAGAAUCAGGAUUUAAGACACAGAGAAAUUUGAUAUUAAGAAGUUCUGGCAAAUUCAACCUGCUUGGACUUCUGAGCAGUCAGUAGCUUCUUCCAAAACUUCAUUUCCAGCUUUGCCUUCCCCCUUACUCUACUUUUGCCUCUCUAUAUUAAUACUUUCCUCUCCCACAUCAGCAUCCGAACCUGGACAUGACCCCUAGUUCUUGGCUUGUUGCUACUCACAGUGUGCUGUGAGUGCAUCAUAGUCUAACCACACUGCAGGUAGAGACAGGACAGAAACUGGAGUUCAGACUAGAAGAAUGGAAGAAAAAGGCAUUUUGAGGAAGAAAUAAAAGGAAACCCACUAAAAAGUUAAAUGGCAUAUCAAAAGCCAAUAGAUAGAUGGAUAUUUUUCCCCUUCUAGGGAAAAUUGGGAAAGGGUAUAUUUUUCUAGAGAAAAAUGUGCGUGUGUGUAUGUGUGUGCAUGUGUGUAUGUGUAUGUAUCUGUGUGUGUGUGUGUGUGUGUGUGUGUGUGUGUGUGUGUGUAUAAAUUUGACCUAGCAGAGUACCAAGACUCUUCUCAUUUACUAUAAGGGCCCAAGAUUUUAUUUUUAUUUUUAUUUAUUUGUUUUUUUGUCUGUUUGUUUUUGCUAUUGGGAAAGGAAGGCAAUAGAAUUUACAAAGAACCUCAGAAGAUUAGUUGUUUUUGUAGGCUUCAUAGGCUUUGUAAAGGAACAGUUUUUUGUUUUGUAGGCUUUGUAAAGGAACAGUUCUUGAGAGAAGAAAUAUGUCCUUGAGUUUAAUAUUUAAAUGUAUGAUAGACAGAAGAGGAGUUCACUCCAAGAAGGUUCAGGGCCCUCCUGUACACGCAUCUCCUGGUGACUUGUUCUGUUAUUUCAGGUUACUGGACAGAACCGUAGCAAUUCCUUUGUAGGAGAAAAUCCUACCAGGCUUGGAUUUUUAACAGUCCUGCUGUAAGAUUUCCUAACCACUUACCCCAACACGUUUUCCAGAACUUAUAUAAAUUCCAUUCAGCAUCCAGAUCUCAGGAGCAUUAUUCCCGUGGUGUUGAAGAGGGUUUCAAGCCUAGUGGGAAAGGUCUACAAGAGUUUUAGGCUUAUGAUAACCUGUGAACAAGGUCAGGAAUAAAAACAGUAUGGCUUACAAAAGCAAAGACAUAAAGUCUUCCCCCAUCUCUGGAAGAAGUUCAUAUAUAGCAAACUCCCUGAGGCAGGAGGGUUGAAAUGUGUCUUGAAAUGAGCACAACAGCCAAUGGAAAAGAAUAUCUCCUUCCAUUAUUAUAUUGGGCAUUGUUAUUUUUCGUAUAAUCAGACAUGCCUCUGACCCAUUAGAAUGACAAAGUGCAAACAGAGCCUCAGAGGGGUGUCCUCAGGUAUAACUGUGAGAAUUGCCUGGGAAACAGCCUCAGAGCUCCCAGGCCGCAGAUUUUCAUUCAUUCAGCAAUUAUCUAUUGGGUGCUUACCAGGUACUAGACUGUUCUAGAUGCCUCAGAUACAUUUGUAAAUAAAACAGAUGAAAAUCCCUACAUUCAGAGAGCUUCCAUUCUAUUGGAAAGAGACAUAAAGGAAACAAUAAACACAUUAAAUAAGCAACGUAUACAAUAUACAAAAUUAUACAAAGUAUGAGAGGAAAAAAAGCAGGGGAAGGGGAUUUGAAGUGGAAGUGGAUUGCAAUUUUAAAUAGGUAGCAGUUGAGCAAAGAUUUGAAAGAUGACGGGAACUGAGCUUGAGGCUAUCUAGCGCAAGAACAUUUCUAGCAGACGGAACAAUCAGGCAAGGAACUGAAACUGCUUUAUGCCUGGAACGUUCCAGGAGUUGUUUGGAGUGAAACUGAGGGAGGGAGCGAGCAGUAGGAAAUGAGGUCAGAGAGGAAAAAAACACAAGACCUCAUAAGCAUCAUGAGAUUGUUCACUGACACGAAUGAAAUGGGGAACUUUUGGGAGAUUUUGAGCAUAGGAGUGACAUGAUCUGACAUGUUUUUAAAGCACCAUUCUGAUUGCUGUCUUGAGAAAAGACUGUAACAGGGCAAGGGCAGAAGCAGUGAGACAAGUAGGUCACUGUUGCAGUCAGCCAGACAUGACAAGAUGGAGGCUAGUACUAGGGUAGUAGUUCAGACAUGGUAGGAAGUCUAAAUCCUAUGUAUAUUUUAAGACAGAACAACCAGGCACAGUGGCUCACGCCUAUAAUCCCAGCACUUUGGAAAGCCAAGGUGGAAGCAUUGCUUGAGCCCUGGAGUUUGAGGCCAGCCUGGGCAACAUAGCAAGACCUUGUCUCUACAAAAAAAAUAAAAAAUAUUAGCCACCAAUGGUGGGACUACUUCUGUAGUCCCAGCUACUCAGGAAGCUGAGGCCAGAGGAUUGCUUGAGCCUGGGGUGUCAAGGCUGCAGUGAGCUCAGGGGGGUGUGCAGUGCAGUGCAGUGAUCAUACCACUGCACUCCAUCCUGGGCGACAGAGCAAGACUCUGUCUCAAAAAAUAAAAUAAAAAUGAAAAUAAAAAAUAAAAUGAAGAUAAAACCACCAGAAUUUCCUGAUAGAUUAAAUAUGGGAAGGGAAUAAGUCCAAGACCUUUCAUCUAAAUGUCUCAGGUGUUUAUUGCACCGUAAAAAACCACCCCAAAACUUAAUGGCUUAAAACAACCAAUUUCUUAUUAUCUCUUAUGCUUCUUCUGUAGGUUGACUGGGCUCAGUUGGGCAUUCUUGUUUGGGGUCUUUUAUGCUGCUGCAGUCAGGCAGUGGCAGAGUCUUACGCAGAAUUUAAUGCAGGAGAUGACCUGGGAGAAUAAUUUUUGUGUUGAUUGGCAUAAACAUGGGUAAAGGAUAUCAUGAUAUAUUCAAGACGAGUAAUGCCAGCAAAGCUAUGAGAGUUGGCAUGUAGAGGACAGUGGUAAUCUGGGGCUCCCUCUUGAUCCCUGUUAACAAAAGGCUGGUUGUAAGUCCUGGGUUAAUUCUGUGUGUUUACUCCUGCCAAUGGAGUUGAGGUUGCCUAGAGAAGCAAGCAUUCAUUACUCCAAAUAUAUGGCCUUUCUUGACCCUAAUUGAGUGAGUUAGGGUACAAGUCCUGGGUAAUCUAAUUACUA